AUUUCCUGAAUAAAGUAUAAAAUUCCUAAAACUCCUGUUUUCUCUUCAGUGCUUUGUUGAGUCUGUGUAGCAAACCUUUAAACAUGUGGGGAACAAACUCAGUCCAGGACCCCCCCAACACAAACCCAUCUGCUCCCACUAACUCACUGACCAUUUGGCUCUUCUCAGAACACAGGCGGAACUAUCUGUUGAGGGAGAAGCUACAUAAGUUGACCCCCAGAAAAGGGAGUGUUAAUCCUGUGGCUGAAAUGCUGAGAGAGGAAGGACCACGCAGGGUGGGAGUGGUUACAGGUUUGGAUCUCAGGGAACUAUUUCCCCCCACAGCUCCCUGGGGUGAGCACCCCUGUCAGGAGAUGCUAGAAGGUGGCCCCAGAGUCUGUACGGGAUCAUUCUCUCCUCCCAGGCUCUCUGACUCCAGCUCUCUGUUUGGCACUUUCCUGUGCAGAGCAGAAGCAAGGACAGUAACCUUCCUGUGUGAGAACAGACUGGCUAACACAACAGGCAAAGAAGAGGCGGCAGGAAGCGCCUGUGGCCUUGCCAGGGGAGGUGUUGCUGUGCACAGGUGACUGGGGGCAGCAGGUGGAGAGAACCGCACACUUGUUGUUUGCUGACAAGGUUCUAGGAAGGGGGCUGACAUCAUGGGGACUGCAGCCUCCCUGCAGAUGUGUGGACAUCAUCUUCCAGUCUCUGCCUUGUAGUUCACAGCUCUGUCGUCAGGGAGACUGCAUAUACACAGCAAGGCAGACCAUGGAGGCAGAAAGGACCAAAUGCUGAUGCAGAAAAUGAAAAUGCAGAAAAUAACAGAAACUCUCAAAAUCAGACAGCAGCAUAUUGGGUUUGCAAGGCUUCCAGCUACAAGAGGUGCAGAAAGAGACUGUCUCAGAAAGGGAAGAUUCCAACAGAGACACAGAAAUUGAGAGACACCCGCCAUACUGCUGCAGUUUCAUGAAGGUCCCCUUCACCCAGCCCUAACAUGUUCACCCUUUCCUUCUCAAAACUUUCAGGGAUUCUGCUUAGAGCUUUCUCUCCAGAUUUAAGAUGGUUAGGUUUUACAUUCAGAUUUUUUCCACUUUUCCCAAAUUGUAUGUACCUCCCUAUAUUGAUAGGUAUUUGUCUGACUAGCAUGCAUCUGAAUUAGUGUCCCUGUACCUCUAUUUGCACAUACUAAGUAACAGCAAAUUGUCAUUACUCCCAUCUCUUUAUUUUAAUUUUUUUUUAUUUAUUGGAGUCAAGCGUUAGCGCAGCAGGUUAAAUGCACAUGGUACAAAGUGCCAAGGAUCAGCAUAAGGAUCCCAGUUCCAGCCUCCAGCUCCCCACCUGCAGGGGAGUCGUUUCACAGGCUGCGAAGCAGGUCUGCAGGUGUCUGUCUUUCCCUCCUCCUUUCUAUCUUCCCCUCCUCUCUCCAUUUCUCUCUGUCCUAGCCAACAACAACAUCAAUAACAACAACAAUAAUAACUACAACAACAGUAAAAAAAACAAGGGCAACAAAAGGGGAAAAAAUUAAAAA